UAACAGGUCCCGCCUGCCCUGUAACUAUAAGUUUAACGGCCGCGGUAUUUUGACCGUGCGAAGGUAGCGCAAUCACUUGUCUUUUAAAUGGAGACCUGUAUGAAUGGCACGACGAGGGCUUGACUGUCUCCUUUUUCAAGUCAAUGAAAUUGAUCUCCCCGUGCAGAAGCGGGGAUAACCACAUAAGACGAGAAGACCCUAUGGAGCUUUAGACACCAAGGCAGACCAUGUUAAACACCCCUAAAUAAAGGGCCAAGCCAAAUGAAUCCUACCCUAAUGUCUUUGGUUGGGGCGACCGCGGGGAAAUACAAAACCCCCACGUGGAAUGGGAACACCCCCUUCCUACAACUAAGAGCUCCCGCUCUAGUGAACAGAAAUUCUGACCAAUAAGAUCCGGCAACGCCGAUCAACGGACCGAGUUACCCUAGGGAUAACAGCGCAAUCCCCUUUUAGAGCCCAUAUCGACAAGGGGGUUUACGACCUCGAUGUUGGAUCAGGACAUCCUAAUGGUGCAGCCGCUAUUAAGGGUUCGUUUGUUCAACG
rnacentral:rRNA from 1 species